rnacentral:rRNA from 1 species
UGGGGAAUAUUGGACAAUGGGCGAAAGCCUGAUCCAGCCAUGCCGCGUGUGUGAAGAAGGUCUUCGGAUUGUAAAGCACUUUAAGUUGGGAGGAAGGGCAGUAAGCUAAUACCUUGCUGUUUUGACGUUACCGACAGAAUAAGCACCGGCUAACUUCGUGCCAGCAGCCGCGGUAAUACGAAGGGUGCAAGCGUUAAUCGGAAUUACUGGGCGUAAAGCGCGCGUAGGUGGUUCGUUAAGUUGGAUGUGAAAGCCCCGGGCUCAACCUGGGAACUGCAUCCAAAACUGGCGAGCUAGAGUAUGGCAGAGGGUGGUGGAAUUUCCUGUGUAGCGGUGAAAUGCGUAGAUAUAGGAAGGAACACCAGUGGCGAAGGCGACCACCUGGGCUAAUACUGACACUGAGGUGCGAAAGCGUGGGGAGCAAACAGG